UACUAAGCGGAGGAAAAGUAACCAACGGGGAUUCCCAUAGUAACUGCGAGUGAAAGGGGAACAGCCCAGCGCCGAAUCCUGCUGCUGGUAACGGUGGCAGGAACUGUGGCGUGAAGAAGGUGGUUACCGGUGUGGCUUGCUUGCGUAAGUCCUCCUGAGUGAGGCUCCAUCCCAUGGAGGGUGCAAGGCCCGUAUCGUGAGCAGCUGAUGCCGGUGUACACUUUCGGAGAGUCGCCUUGUUUGCGAGUACAAGGUGAAGUCGGUGGUAAACUCCAUCGAAGGCUAAAUAUGACCACGAGUCCGAUAGCGAACAAGUACCGUGAGGGAAAAUUGAAAAGCACUUUGAAGAGAGAGCGAAACAGUGCGUGAAACCGCUCAGAGGCAAGCAGAUGGGGCCUCGAAGGCAUAGCAGUGAAUUCAGCUGGCGAGUGGGUGGCAAACCGGUGAUGGGAUCGCAAGACCCUAGUCGGUUCUGUGUUCUGCCUUACUUGUCGGUGCACUUUCGCUGUUUGUACGCCACCGCCGUUGAGCGAGCAUCCGUCGGGUAUGCAUGUUGAAGCCUUACUCCUUUACGGGCGUAGGUGCUUACGGCUAACCUGUACGCGUUUGCGCCUCAACCGGUCAUGUCAACGGGUGCCAGCGUUAGCGUUGGGCCGGUGCGCUCUUCAGCGUAUUGUGGGAUGACGAGCUUGCUCGGCUCCUCGGUGCGCAGUGGAAUCGUUGCCGGUUUUCAACGUGGGCACCUUGUAGAUUCGGUGGCGAGUAGAUGGCUGCCUAUCUAACCC
rnacentral:rRNA from 1 species